CUAAUUUGAAGUUCCAUUUUCAUCUUCAAGAUAAGCACUAAGGAAUAAUAACCACUUGGACUUCUAAAAAUCAAGAUAAAACGCAUGAAUGAGAAUUACUCUCGGAAGUGUUUGCUUUAAAUCCUCUCAGUUUAUCAUAUAUUUCAAAAGUAAUUUACAAAUAAAGGGUAUUGCUAUAUUUAGCCACCCAUUCUAGCCUCGG
rnacentral:lncRNA from 1 species